GGAAACUUGAGGACUUUUAGGGCAUCGUUUUACCUACAGUAUAUGAGUGGAAGCUGGUGAAACUCCAUCACAGCAGGUUUAAUAUUUAAAGACUGUUGAGAGUUUGGUUCCCCUGAGAGAUCAGGAUCAACUUGGCCUUUUCUUCCUGUAGCUUAGCAGCACCCAAACUUACCUGAGUUACUCUGACAAACGGCACAGCUUCACAAACCAGAUUGUGGACUUAUCCAGCUCCUAAUGUGGUAGCAUAUUGAUAGAACAUAAGAAAAGUGGUGAAUACCAGCAACCAUAAUGUAUAUGAACACAUCUGAGACUGCCAGAGGAUCUUAUUCGCUGACCUUCCUGGGAAAGAAAGUAGGGAGGCAUCACUCAGUGGCACCGGCUGGGAAGCAAAUUGCCUGGGAAACAACCAUCAAGUCAACUGAGGAGCCUGUGCUGCCCACUCAGGCUAGUCAUAUCCCAGCAGAAGAUCAGGGCUUGAAAAACCUACCUGGCAGUGUACCUGAGUUAAAGGAAGAGAGGCCGGGUCCAAGCUUUUGCACUUCCCAGUUGCAGCAGUACAGAAACAACAUACCAGGUGUUUCUGAGAAGAAAGUAACUGCAUGACGACACGCCUAGAUUCCUGUACCAGAAAACAAAGAGGGGAUGGGAUGGGAAUGUGAGAUAGAGAGUGAUGAAAGACUCAAAGUAUGCUACUUGGUGGAGAUAUUCAGUGUUUUAAAUUUAAGCUAAAAACAUAAACGGCAACUAACAUUUUUGUUGAUAUGAAAAUUAAAUACUGCUCUUUUCUGUGUACCAUUAUGAGAAAUGUAAAUCACGUUUUAACUGCACACACUAUAACACACUGUUAUUAUGAAACUGUACAAUUAAUCUCAAAUAAAAUGUGA